GCACGGCGAGCGCCGCUUCUCGGCCAUGGUUCCGGAUCCCAAGUCCCGGGAAGCGACGGCGGUCGUCGUUGGCUGGUAGUCUCGACUACGAAGACGACGACGAAGAAGAAGAAGAGUCCCAGAAAAGUAAUGGUGAGAAGGCCCCCCGAAGGGACGCUUGGACCUCCACGACCAGCGAGCAAGUAAGGAGGGCACUGAAUGGAUUGGCAAGUGCCCUACAAGGCCUCUCGUCUGAGCGGGCUUCAUCAGCUCAUGCAAUUGCCCAAACCUGAAGCUGCUUGGGAGAGAGGCCAAACAUCGUCCAGGACAAGCAAAACAGUUCAGUUGCCAUCCAGCCGAUGCCCUGAAAUGGCGAGUAACU